CCACUUGGAGGCUUCCUAGAGGCAUCUUGCUGACCACUGUGAGAAACAGGAUGCUGGACCACAUGGACCUUGGGCCUGAUCCUGUAGGGCUCUUUUGAUGUCCUCAGAAAAUGAGCAAAGAUCUUUAUGUUUGCCUAAAAUCCAUCCUGCUUUCCCAGAAAGUGCCAGCAAAGAGCUACAGGGAGCAUUGAAGCCGUGGUCUUUGGAAACCCAGUUCAGCUUCUGGGAUUUCACCAAGCACACUCCUUCCACAGAACAUGCAGGCCUGUACGAAUUCAGCAGGCAUACUGAUGUGGUACCUUCAGUGUGCAGUGGAAGGGAAAAGAGAUGGAGAUACGGCUAGAAGUGAGGUGGAUGCAUGUAUUCCGGUUACACAGUAAGGUGACCGUUACCUGGCAAGCAGCUCCUCAAAGCCUCCCUUUUAGGGCCUUUUUCUGCUAAGGGGUGGCCAAGCACGCUUUGACGGAUUCAGAUGUGCCCCGCCUUUCUGUGGCAGCUCUCUGCACAACGGAUGUUUUCCUAGAUCUACCCAGCUUUGGAUUAUCUGCUCCAAAGUACACAUCUCCACCCUCCAUACUUCCUCCACCAAGGAAUGUUAGAAUCCACACGUGGGGAAAGGUGUGAGAAAACACUGAAGACACCGUGGCUUUGGGCUGCAGAAGGAGAAAGGAGAAGCAACUCUUCUUCCUAAAUAAGACACCCAUUCUAACUUUUGCUGUUAAUGUGCUGCCAAAGCGGGAACAAUCUUUUCCUUCUGCACACACCAAGAACUUCCGUGCCACAGUCAGGAAGCAGCAGCAGCAGGCGGCGGCGGCGUUGGCAACAGACAGCCACUGCACCAGCCAGAAGACACUCAGCAAACCACCUCGUUCCUCCUGAGGUGGAGGAAUCAUUUCCAGAGUGCGCACCCAUCGAAUGGCUACUGCUCCUUACCAGGACAGAUCCUGGCAGAUCUUCAUUUCCACCCCAGUUCACCACCAGCAAGAGUACACUCUGGGCCAAUAUGAUGUCAUCACAAAACUUCACUGGCAGAGGAACUAUGAGAAAGCAAGCUGCUGCCCAGAGGAGAUGAGCCUCCCCCACCUCGGUCAUUUUGCCUUUCUUAGGAAAAAGCAGUAAA